GUCUCUUCCUCCCUCCGCGAUGUCCCUCGCCGGCACUCCGUCCUCUGUCGCGUUCGUGCGGCGACUCGCUGCCGAAGUGCUCGGUGGGUGGAAAAGGAGGCGUGACGUCAACGCGCACGAUCCCAGCCGAACGCUGUGGGAUGUGGGUGACGUCAUCCCGCGGCGUGCGCGGUGACAUCACUAACGUGAACAUGCGCACCAGUCCGCCAGGCAGGCAGCAAUCCAGCCGGAGAGAGAGAAUUAUUUAGAGGCGAGGGAAUCCACAGUCCAGCCACCUCGACACAAUUAUAAAAAUAAACUCAAUCUUGAUUUGAAGCUUUCGUGACUGCAGGAAUCCAUACUCUUUGGUUCUUUCGGAAACGGAGGCAGCCAGCGGGGCAGGGAGUGGCGUGGAGGCGACGGCCCCGUGACGCUCCGGGCCCAGCGCCGGCCGCUCGGCCACCUGGGCCCAGUCCCGCAGUUGACGCCGCUGCCGCAGGACAAGCGCGCCGAGCUCCUCCAGGGGGCCAACGCUGCACCGCUAGGAGACGGAAUGAGUCCCUACGCCGGAUUAUUCAUCUCGGCAGAGGCGUUAAACGUAAACAAACUGGGCAGGUUUGACAUUUUCACAGCGUCAUUUUUCCACGGAAUGUAUUUCUGGAGAGUCCUCACAGCGCGGCACCUCCACUGGGAGCUGCGUCCCGCGCUCUCUCUGCCUCUGCCCCCGCGCCUCCGACUCCUUCUCCUGCACUUCCGAGAGAGCACGGUUGGCUACGUACGGUGCGAAAGAAGUUCGACAGGCAUGCAUACAACGCCAAAGGCGCACACAGGUCCCCGUGCGCCGUCCAGAUCGCCGUGCCGUGGCCUCGCCAUCGCUGCCUGCCGUGGUCACGGCCGCUCACACCGUCAGCUCCCAGCACCACGAGGUGAGCUGGGAGCUGGCUGGCUGCUCCAGCUCAGCCUCGUCAGCAGCAGCAGCAGCAGGAUUCUAGCUGAGGCCGAAGUCCGAAGUUGAAAAGCUUUUGACGCGGACAAGAAAACCGAGCCUCCUCGAUGCCUCCUGAGCGAGAGAGUCGAUCAUCAAGAGCCGCAUACUUGCAGGAAGCUCCAGCGCACACAAGCCAUAUGAUUUAACACGGUAAAAUUCGUGAUCUGAUCCCAUCUGUGAAGGAUACGAUCCCUGACAUGCAGUACCCCGGCGUCUACAAACUAAGCUGUGUAUGCGGCAGUAGUUACAUUGGGGAAACGAAGCGACAUGUCUUGGAUCGUGUUCGUGAACAUAAGGCAACCCUCGUGGAGGCAGUUAGACCCGGACAGCGAGGUCAUUGGCAUCUUGGUGUCGGGUGGCAUUAAUUGCUUUGUAUCGAGCCCUGGAUUUAACUUCAUCAGAGUGAAAAACGCGGUGUUGAUAGCCCCAGGCUGACUGAGAAACGUGUUCCCGUGUGGUCUAUAGUGGAGAGAAAAUGGAGCAGCCCGGCCUGCAUCGCCUCGUGCUAAGGCGAUAAAUAUUGGCAACUCCGCACUCGAUAUUUCAUGUCUGAAUGAAAUAAAGAUGCCACUUCUGUUU